UGGGGAAUAUUGCACAAUGGGGGAAACCCGUGAUGCAGCGACGCCGCGUGGGUGACGAAGUAUUUCGGUAUGUAAAGCCCUAUCAGCAGGGAAGAAGCUGACAGUACCUGACUAAGAAGCCCCGGCUAACUACGUGCC
rnacentral:rRNA from 1 species